rnacentral:rRNA from 1 species
GACGAACGCUGGCGGCGUGCUUAACACAUGCAAGUCGAACGGAAAGGCCCUGCUUUUGUGGGGUGCUCGAGUGGCGAACGGGUGAGUAACACGUGAGUAACCUGCCCUUGACUUUGGGAUAACUUCAGGAAACUGGGGCUAAUACCGGAUAGGAGCUCCUGCUGCAUGGUGGGGGUUGGAAAGUUUCGGCGGUUGGGGAUGGACUCGCGGCUUAUCAGCUUGUUGGUGGGGUAGUGGCUUACCAAGGCUUUGACGGGUAGCCGACCUGAGAGGGUGACCGGCCACAUUGGGACUGAGAUACGGCCCAGACUCCUACGGGAGGCAGCAGUGGGGAAUAUUGCACAAUGGGCGGACGCCUGAUGCGGCAACGCCGCGUGCGGGAUGACGGCCUUCGGGUUGUAAACCGCUUUCGCCUGUGACGAAGCGUGAGUGACGGUAAUGGGUAAAGAAGCACCGGCUAACUACGUG